UCAGGAACGCUACAUCUUUUCCUUCUCUCUGUCCAUGCUGUUGAAGGGUGAAGACAUGCGCGUCCUCUCUGAUCACGAUUACUUUUCUAACCAUAAUGCAGAGUUCUCAUUUACAAAUGUGAUCUCAACAAGGAUUCCUGAUGUGGUUCUAUCAAGGUUUGAUGAAUAACUGAAACCUUCCCCUCUGCAGGUUUGAUGAAUAACUGAAACCUUCCCCUCUGCAGGUUUGAUGAAUAACUGAAACCUUCCCCUCUGCAGGUUUGAUGGACUGAAAAUGAGAAGGUGAAGAUGUACACAUCUUCUGUACCAAGUCUUGUGAGUCCAGCAGGGAUGGGUGGUGCUGUAUCUACGAGACGCGAGUAGUGGUUGCAUCACGGAGGUCUUCAUCACGGAGGUUCUGAUGCGACAUCCAGUCUGGUUGGAACUGACUAAGGAAACUUUAACCAUGGACAAUCUAGCCUGAAGUGAAGCUAUCCAUAUGGCAAUCCCCCUGGUCACCCCUAUCGAUGUUACUGGCAGCUUGAAGGAACGACCUGGAAGUUACAAUCUGCUAAUUUCUUCUCCCUUUAUAUUUGCUGGUCAAUUACACUAAUGUACAAUUAUGUUUCUCACACAACCACUAUAAUGAACUUGUAUGAGUAAAUAAAAGACUUGCUAAAGCCA